UACGUAGGGGGCGAGCGUUGUCCGGAAUUACUGGGCGUAAAGAGCGCGUAGGCGGCGCGGUACGACCGCUGUGAAAGCCCCCAGCUCAACUGGGGAGGGUCAGCGGUAACGGCCGUGCUUUGAGUGCAGGAGAGGGAAGUGGAACUCCGGGAGUAGCGGUGAAAUGCGUAGAGACCCGGAGGAACACCAGUGGCGAAGGCGGCUUCCUGGUCUGCGACUGACGCUGUGGCGCGAAAGCUAGGGGAGCAAACGGG
rnacentral:rRNA from 1 species